rnacentral:rRNA from 1 species
GAUGAACGCUAGCGGCAGGCCUAAUACAUGCAAGUCGAGGGGCAGCGCGGUAGCAAUACUGGCGGCGACCGGCGCACGGGUGCGUAACACGUAUGCAACCUACCUUCAACUGGAGGAUAGCCCGGGGAAACUCGGAUUAAUACUCCAUAACACAGGGAUCCCGCAUGGGAAUAUUGUUAAAGCUACGGCGGUUGAAGAUGGGCAUGCGUUCGAUUAGCUAGUUGGUGUAGGUAACGGCUCACCAAGGCUACGAUCGAUAGGGGGUCUGAGAGGAUGAUCCCCCCACACUGGUACUGAGAUACGGACCAGACUCCUACGGGAGGCAGCAGUAGGGAAUAUUGGUCAAUGGGCGCAAGCCUGAACCAGCCAUGCCGCGUGCAGGAAGAAAGGCCCCUCUGGGGUUGUAAACUGCUUUUGAUAGGGACAAAUGCCACUUGCGAGUGGAGCUGAGUGUACCUAUAGAAUAAGCACCGGCUAACUCCGUGCCAGCAGCCG